AUUGAACGCUGGCGGCAUGCUUUACACAUGCAAGUCGAACGGUAACAGGCCGCAAGGUGCUGACGAGUGGCGAACGGGUGAGUAAUGCAUCGGAACGUGCCCAGUCGUGGGGGAUAACGCAGCGAAAGCUGCGCUAAUACCGCAUACGCUCUAUGGAUGAAAGCGGGGGACCGUAAGGCCUCGCGCGAUUGGAGUGGCCGAUGUCAGAUUAGCUAGUUGGUGGGGUAAAGGCCUACCAAGGCAACGAUCUGUAGCUGGUCUGAGAGGAUGAUCAGCCACACUGGGACUGAGACGCGGCCCAGACUCCUACGGGAGGCAGCAGUGGGGAAUUUUGGACAAUGGGGGCAACCCUGAUCCAGCCAUUCCGCGUGAGUGAAGAAGGCCUUCGGGUUGUAAAGCUCUUUCGGCAGGAACGAAACGGCGAGCUCUAACAUAGCUUGCUAAUGACGGUACCUGAAGAAGAAGCACCGGCUAACUACGUGCCAGCAGCCGCAGUAACAC
rnacentral:rRNA from 1 species